GCCGGGGGCACAGCCCUCGUCCGCCGCCAUUGCCACUUGACGUCGUGUCACGUAGGCUCGGCGGAGUAGCAGCGCGCAUGCGCGGCCUGCCUGUCAGUAACCACGUGAUGGACCCGGAAGCCCGAGGGCAGAUGCUAAAUGAUGGCCAUUUGACAUUUGCGUGUGUUCACUAUGGAUAGUUUUACCAAGUACAUUGAUUUGGGCCCUUACAGCUUACAAAGUAAAGAUAACACUUACUCCUCCAAGAAAUUGAUUUCAGCUAAGCAAAACAUUGAUACAGGGCUAUAAUGGAAGUGUUGGACUCAUAAACGUUUUAUGAAAUCAGUGUGUGUGUAUUACAGAAAUCAGAAAUGAGAAGUAAGAACAUGUCUGGGAGAGUGUGACAUAAGAAAAAUAACUUGUAGGCGUAUUUAACAGACAGCAGCAGUUCUCAGGAUUCCCCAUGUUAGAGCCUUCCUUCCUGUCCUCUGAGAAAUGAAAAUGAAAUCCAAAGACCCCCAACUGACUACACGAACCCCCUACUGGCUAAGGAGAUCCCAGGGUUGCCUUGAAGGCAGUUCUCAGCCAUGACAGAUGGGAGUUUCGGCCCAAUUGACCAGUAUUCCUUACUGAUAAGAGACACUGACCAUGGAGUGGUUCUGGUGAGAUGACAUGACCCUCGUGAAGGGGCCUGAAGCUUCAUUGUGUUUGUUCUCCCUCUGUUGCCGAGGCUGGACUGUACUGCCGUGAUCUCGGCUUGCUGCAACCUCCCUGCCUCGGGCUCCCAUGAUUCUCCUGCCUCAGCCUGCCGAGUGCCUGGGAUUGCAGGCAUGCGCCACCACGCCUGACUGGUUUUUGUAUUUUUGGUGGAGAUGGGGUUUCGCUGUGUUGGCCGGGCUGGUCUCCAGCUCCUGACCUUGAGUGAUCUGCCCGCCUCGGCCUCCCGAGGUGCUGGGAUUGCAGACGGAGUCUCUCUCACUCAGUGCUGCCCAGGCUGGAGUGCAGUGGCGUGAUCUCGGCUCGCUACAACCUCCACCUCCCAGCCGCCUGCCUUAGCCUCCCAAAGUGCUAAGAUUACAGCCUCUGCCCAGCCGCCACCCUGUCUAGGAAGUGAGGAGUGUCUCUGCCCGGCCACCCAUCGUCUGGGAUGUGAGGAGCGCCUCUGCCUGGCUGCCCCGUCUGGGAUGUGAGGAGCGCCUCUGCCCGGCCGCCACCCUGUCUGGGAAGUGAGGAGAGCCUCUGCCCGGCCGCCACCCUGUCUAGGAAGUGAGGAGAGCCUCUGCCCGGCUGCCACCCCGUCUUGGAUGUGAGGAGCGCCUCUGCCCGGCCGCCCCGUCUGGGAGGUGAGGGGCGCCUCUGCCCGGCCACCCCAUCUGGGAGCCUUUCUGCAGGUGUACCCAACAGCUCCGAGGAGACAGUGACCAUCGAGAACGGGCCAUGAUGACGAUGGCGGUUUUGUCGAAAAGGAAAGGGGGAAAUGUGGGGAAAAGAAAGAGAGAUCAGACUGUUACUGUGUCUGUGUAGAAAGAAGCAGACCAAGGAGACACCAUUUUGUUCUGUACUAAGAAAAAUUCUUCUGCCUUGGGAUGCUGUUAAUCUAUGACCUUACCCCCAACCCCGUGCUCUCUGAAACCUGUGCUGUGUCAACUCAGGGUUAAAUGGAUUAAGGGCGGUGCAAGAUGUGCUUUGUUAAACAGAUGCUUGAAGGCAGCAUGCUCGUUAAGAGUCAUCACCACUCCCUAAUCUCAAGUACCCAGGGACACAAACACUGUGGAAGUCCGCAGGGACCGCUGCGUAGGAAAACCAGAGACCUUUGUUCAAGUGUUUAUCUGCUGACCUUCUCUCCACUAUUGUCCUAUGACCCUGCCACAUCCCCCUCUCUGAGAAACACCCAGGAAUGAUUGAUAAAUACUAAAAUAAAUAAAUAAAUAAAAUAAAAACUUGAUUUUGA
rnacentral:lncRNA from 10 species